CUUGGCACUGGGAGAAUUCACAGGAGUUAUAUAAUUACCCGUGAGUUUCCUGAUGCCUCAGC
rnacentral:pre_miRNA from 1 species